rnacentral:rRNA from 1 species
CACUCCUACGGGAGGCAGCAGUGGGGAAUAUUGCAGCAAUGGGCGCAAGCCUGAUGCAGCCAUGCCGCGUGUGUGAAGAAGGCCUUCGGGUUGUAAAGUACUUUCAGCAGUGAGGAAGGUGGUGUAGUUAAUAGCUGCAUUAUUUGACGUUAGCGACAGAAGAAGCACCGGCUAACUCCGUGCCAGCAGCCGCGGUAAUACGGAGGGUGCGAGCGUUAAUCGGAAUUACUGGGCGUAAAGCGCAUGCAGGUGGUUUGUUAAGUCAGAUGUGAAAGCCCGGGGCUCAACCUCGGAAUUGCAUUUGAAACUGGCAGACUAGAGUACUGUAGAGGGGGUAGAAUUUCAGGUGUAGCGGUGAAAUGCGUAGAGAUCUGAAGGAAUACCGGUGGCGAAGGCGGCCCCCUGGACAGAUACUGACACUCAGAUGCGAAAGCGUGGGGAGCAAACAGGAUUAGAUACCCUGGUAG